AUUGAACGCUGGCGGCAGGCCUAACACAUGCAAGUCGAACGGUAACAGGGAUCAGCUUGCUGAUUCGCUGACGAGUGGAGGACGGGUGAGUAAUGUCUGGGAAACUGCCUGAUGGAGGGGGAUAACUACUGGAAACGGUAGCUAAUACCGCAUAACGUCGCAAGACCAAAGAGGGGGACCUUCGGGCCUCUUGCCAUCGGAUGUGCCCAGAUGGGAUUAGCUAGUAGGUGGGGUAACGGCUCACCUAGGCGACGAUCCCUAGCUGGUCUGAGAGGAUGACCAGCCACACUGGAACUGAGACACGGUCCAGACUCCUACGGGAGGCAGCAGUGGGGAAUAUUGCACAAUGGGCGCAAGCCUGAUGCAGCCAUGCCGCGUGUAUGAAGAAGGCCUUCGGGUUGUAAAGUACUUUCAGCGGGGAGGAAGGGAGUAAAGUUAAUACCUUUGCUCAUUGACGUUACCCGCAGAAGAAACACCGGCUAACUCCGU
rnacentral:rRNA from 1 species